rnacentral:rRNA from 1 species
GUCCACGCUGUAAACGAUGACGACUAGGUGUGGGGGGUUCGAGUCCCUCCGUGCCGCAGCUAACGCAUUAAGUCGUCCGCCUGGGGAGUACGGCCGCAAGGUUGAAACUCAAAGGAAUUGACGGGGGCCCGCACAAGCGGUGGAGCAUGUGGUUCAAUUCGAUGCAGAGCGAAGAACCUUACCUGGGCUUGACAUGCAGGAAGUAGAAACCGGAAACGGCGACGACCUGUUAAGUCAGGAACCUGCACAGGUGGUGCAUGGCUGUCGU